rnacentral:tRNA from 2 species
GAGAGAUGGCUGAGUUGGUCGAAGGCGCACGACUGGAAAUCGUGUAGUGCAGGAAUGUACUCAAGGGUUCGAAUCCCUUUCUCUCC